CAGCAGCCACGGUAAUACAGAGGGUGCGAGCGUUAAUCGGAUUUACUGGGCGUAAAGCGUGCGUAGGCGGCUUCUUAAGUCGGAUGUGAAAUCCCUGAGCUUAACUUAGGAAUUGCAUUCGAUACUGGGAAGCUAGAGUAUGGGAGAGGAUGGUAGAAUUCCAGGUGUAGCGGUGAAAUGCGUAGAGAUCUGGAGGAAUACCGAUGGCGAAGGCAGCCAUCUGGCCUAAUACUGACGCUGAGGUACGAAAGCAUGGGGAGCAAACAGGAUUAGAUACCCGGGUAGUCCUGUCUCUUAUACA
rnacentral:rRNA from 1 species